rnacentral:rRNA from 1 species
CCUACGGGAGGCUGCAGUGGGGAAUAUUGCACAAUGGGGGAAACCCUGAUGCAGCGACGCCGCGUGAGUGAAGAAGUAUUUCGGUAUGUAAAGCUCUAUCAGCAGGGAAGAAAAUGACGGUACCUGAUUAAGAAGCCCCGGCUAACUACGUGCCAGCAGCCGCGGUAAUACGUAGGGGGCAAGCGUUAUCCGGAUUUACUGGGUGUAAAGGGGGCGUAGACGGCAGCACAAGUCUGGAGUGAAAUGCCGGGGCUUAACCCCGGAACUGCUUUGGAAACUGUGCAGCUAGAGUGCAGGAGGGGUAGGUGGAAUUCCUAGUGUAGCGGUGAAAUGCGUAGAUAUUAGGAGGAACACCAGUGGCGAAGGCGGCUUACUGGACUGUAACUGACGUUGAGGCUCGAAAGCGUGGGGAGCAAACAGGAUUAGAUACCCGUGUAGUC